GCGCCCGUCGUUGGGGAGUAGCCGAUCUUCUGUCCGCCAGGCCAGAAGAUGUACGUGUCAACAUACUCGUUGCAAAACGUGGCACGUACGGGUUGAAGAACGCAUUCAAUC
rnacentral:sRNA from 1 species